CUAGCGAGGAAAAGAAACCCACAGGGAUUGCCUUAGUAGCGGCGAGUGAAGCGGCAAAAGCUCAAAUUUGAAAUCUGGUACUUUCAGUAUCCGAGUUGUAAUUUGUAGAAGCAACUUUGGUGAUGGUCUUUGCAUAAGUUCCUUGGAAUAGGACGUCAUAGAGGGUGAGAAUCCCGUUUAUGGUGAAGAACCCACACUAUGUAAAGUGCUUUCGAAGAGUCGAGUUGUUUGGGAAUGCAGCUCAAAGUGGGUGGUAAAUUCCAUCUAAAGCUAAAUAUUGGCGAGAGACCGAUAGCGAACAAGUACUGUGAAGGAAAGAUGAAAAGAACUUUGAAAAGAGAGUGACAAAGUACGUGAAAUUGUUGAAAGGGAAGGGAUCUAAAUCAGACAUGGUAUUUUGUGAUCAACAGUCUUUCGGGACUGUGCACUCGCAUUUUACUAGGCCAGCAUCGGUUAGAAGGGGGUAAAAAAGAUUUUGGAAUGUGGCUCCUCGGAGUGUUAUAGCCAAGGUUAAUUGCCCCAUUUCUGACCGAGGACCGCGUCUUUUGAUUAGAUGCUGCGUAUUUUUGCG
rnacentral:rRNA from 1 species